AUGACUCCCAAAGUUAUUCAAGAGUCAAGUUCCGUGACUGUGUCCGAAAAAUCAAGUCUAAACCUCCGCUUCCGCCUGGCUUCCCUUCUGCCGAAGAAGCCUAUAACUUCUUCACCUUCACCUUUGAUCCCGAACCAGAGGAACUGGAGGAAAAACCAAAAGCAAAACAUAGAGAGGGAGCCAAUCAAGAGGAGGUGGAAGGAGAGGAGGAAGGGCCACCUGUUCAAGGAGUAAACAAAACGGAUGAGGAAGAGCUGCUUGCUGGCAGAGAUGCUGAGCACUUCCUAUUGGGCUCACAUCACGGGGCUGAAGAUUUCGUGGCGGUGAGACCUGCCUAUUAUGAAAGCGUCCACAUUCGGCUGCAGAAGGAGAAAGAACUCCUGUUCAUACCCAGUAGGC